UUCAAAUUUAUUAAUGCGAAAAUUCAGAUGAACGAUUAAAUGAAUACUGGGCAUAUAAUGUACUUCACUGUACCAUUUGCGAAUGCGCGCUUUAAUCACAACAAAAACACAAAACAGACGAAAUGUUCGAUGGUUCGUUUCCAGUAGCCGAUAGUUAUUUGUAAUAUAUUGCGCAGUUUUGCCCAGAUUAACAAAAUCGGUACCUGUUAUUAUGACGUCGAAUAGAGCAGAACUCUAGUAAACGUACGAAGGAGUUCGGAAGAAGGUAAUCUACCUAAAGAUCAUCCUGCUGGAAUCGCUUGCAACGUUAAUAUACCCAUACUAUAAACUUCUGAAACUUAUUAGAACCGCACUUAAAGUCGUUGAAGUUCGACGGGCGAGUGUUUUUCUUGCUGUUCCUGUAGCGGCAAAUGGCUAUAGAGGCUUCACUCGCCGGCCAUGGGACCCUCAAGGAGUGGCGGCAUUUUUUCGGGGCCGUUCCACAAUCAUCUUUUAAACAAGUUAACCAAACAAACCAUCUUAUCGGGGAAUGGAGGAGGUACUGAGAAAAAGCUGAUUAUUAGUCAAUCAUGAAUAUGAACAUUAAAGAUUAUUUAGUGAUCUUGUUCAGUACUGAAAUAUGCGCUUCGGAUUUGGCGAGGUGUAGCUAGCAAGGGAAGAACAUUCUCAAGAGUUCUACACUAUUGAAGAUUUUCCCUAUUGGAAAAUAUGGUGUGACUGUGUCAAGAAAUUCUAAUACUAAUUUUGGAAGACAUCGGACAACAUGAGAGAACGAUGAAUAUGGAUCCUUAUCCUCAAUCCGUAGCAUCCUUCAAAGCAGAAUAAGAUCGCUUAAAAUUAUCGUCUAUGGAGAUAAAAUGGGAAAAGACAUUCAGGCCUCUUGUUCAACGCUACUCUCAGAAGAAGCUGAUCUACACUUCUCGGAUUUAGCACCAACACUUCAUUGCCCUCCAAGCUGCCAUUUCGACGUACGUUUGCGUCGCUGCCAAGAAACUCACCGAUUCACUAGCUCAAAAACUUAUAUUUGAUAAGUGGAAAAUUGUUCAAGAAAUGGAAUUCUUCCUUUAAUGGCAUCCUGUUGAUCAAUACCGAUGUAAUGAGUCAA